CUAUCAAAUUGUUCUUGAUGAUAGAGAUUCCGAAUCGAUGAUCGGAGCCGUUGAAAUUGAUCUAGAGUAUUUGAAAUAUCUAGAAACUAAAUUUCAUAAAUUUUAAAAAUUAUUUACAUGGUGAUCAAAGUGUCGUAAAAUCGAUAAUUUUUGACGGCCUAUAUGAGCCGUUUGCUUGUUUAACGGUGUAGAGCAAUCCAAAUUGCUUGAAUUUUUGAUAGAAAAUUCUUUAUAUUAUUUAGAUAAUGUUUGAUAACUCUGAUUAUGAAUUAAGAAAGUCUAACCUCUAUUUUAAGAAGGUUAUUCAUUUAUGACCGUUCAUUUUUCAACUCUUCGAUGAACUUGAUAAUGAUUUUUUAAAUAUUUCAAAAUUUGGUUUCUAAAUAUUUCUAAUUGUGUAGAUAAAUUUCAAUGGUGCCGAUUAUCAAUUUAAAAUUCCGAUCAUUCAAAACGAUUUGAUAGGACAAUGUCCUCAAUCCAAUUAAUAGGAUAGUAGAUGGACUCUAUAUACUAUCGGUAGUAAACCGCUCAGUUUACUACCGAUUUGUUUUCGAUAAUAGAGCUUUCAAAUUGAUGAUCGGCAUCGUUAAACAUGAUCUAAACUAUUUAAACUAUCUGGAAAUCAAAUUUCACACAUUUUCAAUAUUGUUCUCUUGUCCAUCAAGUGAACAGAAAAAUGAAUGACUGGAAAUGAAUAUCCUUCAAAAAGUGAUGAUACAAUUUUUAUAUUUGAGAUCUAGAGUCUAGAUCUUAUUUUAAAUAGUUUAAAGAAUUUUUUAACAAAAAUUUAGUUGAUUUGAACUCUUCUAUACCGUUAAACGAGCAAACGCACCAUAUCGGCCAUUAAAAUUAUAGAUUUUGUGACCCUUUGAUCGUUCAGUUAGUGAUGCCAAAAAAUCAUGAAAUUUGAUUUCUAGAUAAUUUAAAUGAUCUAGAUCAUGUUCAAUGGUGCCGAUCGUCGAUUUGGAAGCUCUAUCAUAAAAAACAAAUCGGUAGCAAACCGAGCAGUUUACUACUGAUAGUAGCCUAGUCAAACUCUCUCUCUCUCUCUCUAUAUAUAUAUCGAGUAGGGCUACUCUGCUAUUAGGAGUACAGCAGCCCUUGUGCUCCUAAAUUCUUAACCAUCCAUCAAAUUUGAUGGAGGGUUUGGGUGAAAAAAAGAAGAGUAAUUGGAGAGA
rnacentral:lncRNA from 1 species